rnacentral:rRNA from 1 species
AUUGAACGCUGGCGGCAUGCCUUACACAUGCAAGUCGAACGGCAGCACGGACUUCGGUCUGGUGGCGAGUGGCGAACGGGUGAGUAAUAUAUCGGAACAUACCUUGUAGUGGGGGAUAACUAUCCGAAAGGAUAGCUAAUACCGCAUACGCUCUAAGGAGGAAAGCGGGGGAUCGUAAGACCUCGUGCUAUAAGAGUGGCCGAUAUCUGAUUAGCUAGUUGGUGAGGUAAAGGCUCACCAAGGCGACGAUCAGUAGCUGGUCUGAGAGGACGACCAGCCACACGGGAACUGAGUCACGGUCCGGACUCCUACGGGAGGCAGCAGUGGGGAAUUUUGGACAAUGGGGGCAACCCUGAUCCAGCAAUGCCGCGUGAGUGAAGAAGGCCUUCGGGUUGUAAAGCUCUUUUGUCAGGGAAGAAACGGUUGUGGCUAAUAUCCAUGGCUAAUGACGGUACCUGAAGAUUAAGCACCGGCUAACUACGUGCCAGCCGCCGCAGUAACAC